rnacentral:rRNA from 1 species
CCUACGGGAGGCAGCAGUGGGGAAUAUUGCACAAUGGGGGAAACCCUGAUGCAGCGACGCCGCGUGAGUGAAGAAGUAUUUCGGUAUGUAAAGCUCUAUCAGCAGGGAAGAAAAAAGACGGUACCUGACUAAGAAGCCCCGGCUAACUACGUGCAAGCAGCCGCGGUAAUACGUAGGGGGCAAGCGUUAUCCGGAUUUACUGGGUGUAAAGGGAGCGUAGACGGCGCGGCAAGUCUGAAGUGAAAGGCAGGGGCUUAACCCCUGAACUGCUUUGGAAACUGCCAUGCUAGAGUGCUGGAGAGGUAAGUGGAAUGCCUAGUGUAGCGGUGAAAUGCGUAGAUAUUAGGAGGAACACCAGUGGCGAAGGCGGCUUGCUGCAGCGGAACUGACGCUGAUGCUCGAAAGCGCGGGUAUCGAACAGGAUUAGAUACCCGUGUAGUC